rnacentral:rRNA from 1 species
GAUGAACGCUGGCGGCGUGCUUAACACAUGCAAGUCGAACAAUGAAGCCCAGCUUGCUGGGUGGAUUAGUGGCGAACGGGUGAGUAACACGUGAGUAACCUGCCCUUAACUCUGGGAUAAGCCUGGGAAACUGGGUCUAAUACCGGAUAGGAGCGUCCACCGCAUGGUGGGUGUUGGAAAGAUUUAUCGGUUUUGGAUGGACUCGCGGCCUAUCAGCUUGUUGGUGGGGUAAUGGCUCACCAAGGCGACGACGGGUAGCCGGCCUGAGAGGGUGACCGGCCACACUGGGACUGAGACACGGCCCAGACCCCUACGGGAGGCAGCAGUGGGGAAUAUUGCCCAAUGGGCGAAAGCCUGAUGCAGCGACGCCGCGUGGGGGAUGACGGCCUUCGGGUUGUAAACCUCUUUCAGUAGGGAAGAAGCGAAAGUGACGGUACCUGCAGAAGAAGCACCGGCUAACUACGUG